rnacentral:rRNA from 1 species
UACGUAGGGUGCAAGCGUUGUCCGGAAUUAUUGGGCGUAAAGAGCUCGUAGGCGGUCUGUCACGUCGGCUGUGAAAACCUGGGGCUCAACUCCGGGCCUGCAGCCGAUACGGGCAGACUAGAGUUCGGCAGGGGAGACUGGAAUUCCUGGUGUAGCGGUGAAAUGCGUAGAUAUCUGGAGGAACACCGGUGGCGAAGGCGGCAUCCUGGACCAAUACUGACACUGAGGAGCGAAAGUGUGGGGAGCGAACAGG